rnacentral:rRNA from 1 species
UACGUAGGGGGCAAGCGUUGUCCGGAAUCAUUGGGCGUAAAGCGCGCGUAGGCGGCCCGGUAAGUCCGCUGUAAAAGUCCAGGGCUCAACCCUGGAAAGCCGGUGGAUACUGUCGGGCUAGAGUCCGGAAGAGGCGAGUGGAAUUCCUGGUGUAGCGGUGGAAUGCGCAGAUAUCAGGAGGAAUACCAGUGGCGAAGGCGGCUUCUUGGCCUGUUCUUGACGCUGAGGCGCGAAAGCUAGGGGAGCGAACAGG